AACGAACGCUGGCGGCAUGCCUAAUACAUGCAAGUCGAACGAGAUCUUCGGAUCUAGUGGCGCACGGGUGCGUAACGCGUGGGAAUCUACCCAUGGGUUCGGAAUAACAGUUAGAAAUGACUGCUAAUACCGGAUGAUGACGUAAGUCCAAAGAUUUAUCGCCCAGGGAUGAGCCCGCGUAGGAUUAGCUAGUUGGUGAG
rnacentral:rRNA from 1 species